AAUGGUACUGCAGCUACAGGCCUUUCAGAAAUUCUUUCAGACUCAAACAGUUUUCAGCAGUCACAAGAGAUGUGAACAUUCCCAGGAUCUGUUUCUAUUUCUAGAAGACAGGAUUUUUAGAAUUUUAGAUCAAAGUUUCAGCUAGAUUAUUGUCUUUAUCCAGGAAUUACUCUGACGUUUGAACUCAGUCUAUCUGCCCAAAAAUAUGUCAUGAUUGUGCUGAAUAGGAUUGUAAUACCAUAGCUGUCUACUGCAACUUGUAUUAGCAUAUCAACAAAGUCAAUAAACAAGGCUCCAGAAUUUCCACAUCCCAUUCAGCUCAUCACAGGAAACUCCAUAAAG
rnacentral:lncRNA from 1 species